rnacentral:rRNA from 1 species
AUUGAACGCUGGCGGCAUGCCUUACACAUGCAAGUCGAACGGCAGCACGGGUGCUUGCACCUGGUGGCGAGUGGCGAACGGGUGAGUAAUACAUCGGAACGUACCUUAUCGUGGGGGAUAACGCAGCGAAAGCUGUGCUAAUACCGCAUACGCCCUGAGGGGGAAAGCGGGGGAUCGAAAGACCUCGCGCGAUUAGAGCGGCCGAUGCCUGAUUAGCUUGUGGUGGGGUAAAAGCCCACCAAGGCGACGAUCAGUAGCUGGUCUGAGAGGACGAUCAGCCACACUGGGACUGAGACACGGCCCAGACUCCUACGGGAGGCAGCAGUGGGGGAAUUUUUGGACAAUGGACGCAAGUCUGAUCCAGCCAUU